GAAGGCUUGCUAUGUGAUAUUGAAUCCUUAUAUUAGGAUCAAUGGUCAUCCAUGAGUUUUUUGUUGGAAUACUUUGUUCAAAUGUGCUUACCAUCUUCCUUGAUUAUUAGGCUGUACACAUAUUGAUCUUAAACACGCUAGAACUCAGCACGAAUCAUUAACCUGUGAUCAGGAUACUAGGGAAGAAGUCAUUGAGGCAUGGUAUAUGGAUGAUAGUUAUGAGGACCAGAGACUGCCUCAUCAUAAGAAUCCUAGGGAAUUUGUAUCCUUCGAUCAACUUGCUGAGAAGCUGCCAAAUUAUGAAGAAAAGAUUAAAAACUUCUUUGAAGAACAGUUUCACACUGAUGAGGAGAUCCGCUACUGUGUGGCUGGAAGUGGCAAGAGUCGUCUCUGUGCAUGUGUCUUAUUUGUCUUAUACAUUCAAGCCUCUUAAUAAUCUCCACUCGGUGAAGGAUAGUUCGACGUCAGGGAUCGUAAUGACCACUGGAUUCGUGUCUGGGUGAAUAAAGGGGGAAUGAUUGUCUUGCCUGCUGGAAUUUAUCAUCGCUUUACCCUGGAUACAGAUAACCAUAUCAAGGUAUACGAUAAGACAUGUAAGAAUAUUAGUUGUUUGUGAGCGUAUUUGUUUGUUGGAGACUUGGAGGGAAAAGUGUAACUGAAGUAUCCCUUCCUUUUCCCCUUUUCUUCUCUUCAGUAAUUCGAAAAUCAUAAAGGAAAUGAAAAGUUAUUCAUUCUUUUGAUGCUUAUAUAA